CAAUGCUGAUGAGUCCAGAGGAAGACCCGGACCCAUGUGUCUGAUCAAGAGGUGCCAUUCGUGGUUCCAGAAGGCAGGAAGGGGCUAUUAGAGAUAGAAAACGAACAGUAAGCAGAAGACUCGAGAAACGCCUGAUAUGCAAUACCGCCGGGCUAUGCCCCUUCCCCAGGACCCAGCUCUCACCAGGAUCGAUACAUCCCUUCACCCUGGAUUCACCCAGUAUGCACAGCUACAUCCAUCCCUCUCUAGAGAUGUGGUGAGAUAAACUUUUCUGUCAUACUACCUGAACUUUGAGAGGUGCUCCUUAUUGGGGGAUCACGUCCCAUGGUCUGGGUGUAUUUCUCGUACCAAGAUCGUUCAAUCUCUUCGUCCCCUUCACAUAGCGGUAGUAUUGCGGAGGACACCAUGUCCACUUCCACCGCAGAGAUCUUUGGAUAAGCCUUUACAAAGCUCCAGAACAAGGAUUCCUGGGAUGCGAUGGUUUCUGGCAACAGGAGAACUCUGCAGGAGAAAAGAACGGAGAACAUUCAGCCCAGGAGUUUUGCCCCAUCGUCGCCACGCCUGCCUGUCGAGCCCUUCAGAAGCGGCUCGCUCGUCCCUGCCUGGUCCAGACGCAACCUCAGCCCAGAGGGGAUACGACGCUGCCGGCCAACUGCUUCGCCGUCCGCUCGGAUCUCGCUCCCUCCCUGUUGCAGGAUGCGCGGCCCCGCCAGCCCCUUACCCAGCUCCGCGCGGAGCCAUGGGAAGGGGUCUCGGCCCCUCGGAAACAAGAAGACUGGACGGGGAAGCCCUAGCCGAGGGCUCUCCAGGAAGGCCUCGCUAGACAGCCC
rnacentral:lncRNA from 1 species